AGAAUCAACGCUGGCGGCGUGCCUAACACAUGCAAGUCGCACGAGAAAGGGGAGCAAUCCCUGAGUACAGUGGCGCACGGGUGAGUAACACGUGAAUAAUCUACCUCCGAGUGGGGAAUAACUGAGAGAAAUCUUAGCUAAUACCGCAUAAUACCCACGGGUCAAAGCAGUAAUGCGCUUGGAGAGGAGUUCGCGGCAGAUUAGUUAGUUGGCGGGGUAAUGGCCCACCAAGACGAUGAUCUGUAUCCGGCCUGAGAGGGCGCACGGACACACUGGAACUGAAACACGGUCCAGACUCCUACGGAGGCAGCAGUGGGGAAUUUUGCGCAAUGGGGGAAACCCUGACGCAGCAACGCCGCGUGGAGGAUGAAGCCCCUUGGGGUGUAAACUCCUUUCGAUCGGGAAGAUAAUGACGGUACCGAUAUAAGAAGCCCCGGCUAACUUCGUGCCAGCAGCCGC
rnacentral:rRNA from 1 species